AUUGAACGCUGGCGGCAUGCUUUACACAUGCAAGUCGAACGGUAACAGGGAGCUUGCUCCGCUGACGAGUGGCGAACGGGUGAGUAAUGCGUCGGAACGUGCCGAGUAGUGGGGGAUAACGCAUCGAAAGGUGUGCUAAUACCGCAUACGUACUGAGGUAGAAAGUGGGGGACCUUCGGGCCUCACGCUAUUCGAGCGGCCGACGUCUGAUUAGCUAGUUGGUGAGGUAAAGGCUCACCAAGGCGACGAUCAGUAGCGGGUCUGAGAGGAUGAUCCGCCACACUGGGGCUGAGACGCGGGCCAGACGCCUACGGGAGGCAGCAGUGGGGAAUUUUGGACAAUGGGCGCAAGCCUGAUUCAGCCAUGCCGCGUGUCUGAAGAAGGCCUUCGGGUUGUAAAGGACUUUUGUCCGGGAGCAAAUGCCUGGUGUUAAUAGCACUGGGAGCUGAGAGUACCGGAAGAAUAAGCACCGGCUAACUACGUGCCAGCAGCCGCAGUAAAAC
rnacentral:rRNA from 1 species